rnacentral:lncRNA from 1 species
CCGGUCAAUGAAAUUCCUGAAUUCAAGUACCUCGACUUUCCAAUAUUGAUAGUUCGCGAAAGAACUAAGAUCUUCAAGGCUAUACCAACUGAGCUAUCCUGACCAUUUAUGGAAUCUAGAUUCCCCGGUUUUCUUCCUAGCUCGGACUCCUUGUCUGGAAUAGGUCGCAUAACAACCCCCCAGAGGGAGACUCGAGUUAUUUACUUCUUUGUUAAAAUAGAUUAUAUAGCCAUGAUGGUUGGUCAAGUGGACAAUGCCCAGGUGGGUAGACCCAUAUAGUAGGGGAGAUAAAUGCCCUGCAGUGCUAUUGAGACCGAUCUAGGUUAUUGAUGGCUUUUAUUUAAAGACAAGGAGCUUAAAGGUGAUGGAUAAGGCUUUCACCCAUCCGAUACUGAGUAAUCCGUUAAUCGAUCCCCAAGGGAAGGGUACUUGUAUCUAUAGCAGAUUGGUGUUUCAAGCAGGCCAGCCCACUCUUAACAACAAUGCAAUCAGUCCAUUCACUCAAAACCGGAACCCACACUCAAAGUUAAGGUCAAUACUCCAUUUAUACAUACCAGCCUCGACAGAGGGGGAGCACCUACAGCAUAAUCACUCAUGAACACAUAUUGACUCACUUCUAGAUAGAUUAGUUGAUUCACAAUGCCCGCAGAUACCUAUAUAUGUUAUUGAACCUUUUUAUUGGAAUAUGUUUAUCUAAGGCAGACUGAACUAGUCUUAAUAUAUGGAAGAUCUUGGGGACAAGGAGCUUAAACGUUAUCGAUCGACAUAUUGGCUCGAUCGGGGCCCAGGCUCUGCCCUCCGAGCACUUAAGCAUGCAUCCGGAUUCGGGCUCUGGGCUUGCUCAUCAAUAUGUCAGUGUGGCAAGUGCUUAAUGUAGCAUUCUUGUCAAGGACUUCCCAAUGUUUCAAUAGAGUCCAGGGAUCUGCAGGCUUGUAUUGGGAAUGCCAUCCGCUUCCAGCGUGCGGUUGACCGGGCUGCCAUCACAAUAAUCUAGGGUUCGCGUAUGCUCUAGCAUUCAUUCUUGUUCUUGGUCUUGCUUGUUCUCCCUGGAUCUCACUGCUUCCUUCCUACCCCCGGUAGCAAAAGUCACGAGAUUAGUUAUUUAAAACGGGCCUUCUGCCUUGGAUUGCUUUGGCCCAUUUGACUGGAUUCCCAUAUGGCACCUUGCCCAUAAAAGCGAACUACUAACUUCGGUGAAGGAAGAAGCAAGUUCCCAAGAGAAGUGAAGUCAUCAACCUGGUAUUAGUUUGCCAAUCUAAAAGUCAAGUGAUACAGGUCGGGAUGGGAAGAAAGAAGCGAUUUCCUCGAAUUUGCUUUCGAAAAGGUGUAGCUGCAUGGAACAAAAUCCACAUUGCCAGUUCUCAAUUAUGAGUAACUUGCAGGAUGAAAGAUUCUUAUUAUUGUUAGCACCUCUGCUCUACCUUUCACACUAGCUUCCCGUCGCUCGAAGUACACUUCUCAACCACUAACUAUCUCGCUCGAUUUCUCCCGUAACUCUUCCACCUACUCCUUUGAUGAAAGGUGAAGAUUGUUGGGUUGAUCCUUCGAUUUGGGCAUCGUAGGGCGCUUCUUCAGUCAGUGGGCAACGAAUUCCGGAUAUCUAGUAUGAACAGAGUGAACUGUUAUGAUAUAAAUAAUCCGUUGGAAAGCAUGAGGUCUCACUUAUGUUCAGUGCUUUUCUAUUUCUAGCGCAAUUGAAGAAUAAUUGGCGACGCUCUGCGAUAAUAUGUUUUAGGGAUAGCCUAAUGCUAUUUAGGAUUCGGAUUCUCGACUAUUGGUAUGAUCGGAACUAGUAUUUAGAUAUAUACGACCCUCUACUGGUUUGACCUUCGAAAGGCGGAGAAAGUGGGGUUCAGGGCUUUAGGGCAUACAAUGGGUUAUGGGGUCCAUGGUACACGGAUGCGCUAACCAGCGAGAAAAGGCCUAGCACUUAACUCGUCCGGUGCGGGUCUAUUUCUCCCUUCGGGUCCUCUACACCUGUAAAAAGGAAAGGAGUCGUCAGGGCUUGGUUUUCUUUAAUACCGCUAGGCCUUUCUCAAUCUGUCUUCUUUGGAAAAAAGUGCAUUUUACUAAGAUCCGAUGGCUUUGAAUCCGCUAGACCCCAACCAAAGCAUAGAGAUGGAUUCCUAGCAUGAGGUGGAUUAGAGGGCGUCCUAGCCGUAAAUGAUAGAUACUGUGGGUACUCACUGCUGCGCGAGGAAACGAAACCCUAGUCAUGAUGAAAGACACAAGUUAUAUAUAACAAUAAUAUCUAUGAAGAGAAAGUAUGCAAUCCUUAUGUCGAGCUUCCUUCGGUAAUGUUGCAAAGGAAAGGAGAUAAGUUGUUUCUCUUUAUAAAGCUAAGUAAGGCUAAAGCUCUGUUUCCAUUCCUGUUUAUAAAAAAGAAUGCUAGCACGACUUUCAAAUAACCAGAAAGGAGUGUAGGAUUGAUUCCUCACAUGAUACGCAUUUCCAUCUAAUCUAGUUGGGAUUUAGGUUCCUGCUAGGUGAGAUAUUUAUUUUUAGACAGCUGGAGGUACGAAUUACCCGAUUGUGAAUGCUUCUUACUCGCAGGAAUAAUCCCAUUGUGUCCACGUAUCCACACGAUUGGUUUCUGAACCAGAAGUUCAUUCAUUUUUGAUCGAGAAACAUGGCGCAGGUGUCAGAUUGGAGUGAUUAUUGAUACGUGGUAUGAGCGUACAAAAUGAUUGGGGUUUGGGGUAGUAACACCAAAAGAAGCGUUAGUUGUUGUCUCGGAUUGAGAAGCAGUGGCAUCUUUAGCGGUCAAUGCCCACGAAGGAAGGUCUUUUCUCACUCAUUAUUUAGAUUAGUUAGCCGUGUGCACCUCUUCUUUUUUCCUUUCAGAAUAGAAGAUGGGGUUGUACCUGUCAUCUCUUGAUACCAGUAUUCUAGCUUAUGGUUCCUUUGUCGGUUUCCCCUGACCAUACAUAUCUACUUCGGCGUGUAAAGAAGCUGCUCCGCUGAUUACCCACCAACAGAUGCUUUUGGCGCUCCUACCUUUUCCCUAGGAUGAGUCUCCAAAGCGGGUCACUAAUAGCUUCAGUGUGCAGGAAACUAUGGCCACACCCUUUCCUACUCUAAAGCCGCUGCCCUUACUAAAUAGUGAAGCCGUGCAUACGUUUCCUCACUCAAUCCGUCUGGUAGCAGAAGCCCUUUACCUAGGGUAGGGCUUCACGAGGUUUAAGUUUAAGAUUAUUGAUAGAAUCAACGAAUCUCACUUCUAAUGGGCUUUACUACACUACCAGAGGAGUACAAGCUUGAAACGGGCAGCAGCUACACACUACCUAUACAAUAUAUCAAGACGAAAGCAGGGCGCUUAGGACACUGGAUUGGAAACUUAGACUGCCUUCCCUCUUUACUCGCUUGUUCCACUUGGUAUUCACAAUCAAAGGUCUCCCCAACCAUUAUAACAAGAACCAACCGUUGGAUAGGGCCACCACUCGAUGGGUUGGAUCCUGCUCACCACGCGGAAAACAACCAUACAAUUUAGUAAUUCCGGGGCUUACUAUUCAAGGGCAAAUCAAGUAGAAUUGUGUAUAUAGAUGAAAAAGGAGAAUGGCGAAGAAAGUCAAUUUGUCCAAAGCAUGGUGCCGACCUCCUUCUUUUAUACUACACGAACGAGAAUUCUCAUUUCUUGUGAAUGGGCCCAAUUUCCCUUUUGUUACUGGUCGGGACGACCUAAAUCCUAUAUCGGUUUCUCAAGUGCCAAAUAGAAUAGUUCUUUUCCAAGUUUGGGUAGGAUUCCUGACACCAAUCACAUCUGUAAGUAGCAAAGAUUUAAACAAAUAAUGAGAGGCCUUUAUCUAAUUAAGUUGAAUAAUACACAGAUUGUAAUAAAGGAGCGUGCUAACUGUCACAGAUAGCGUGGAGAUAAACAGCACGUACCGACCAAGUGUCGCGGUAGGUUGGCUGGUGCAGGCAGGUUUGAUAACUCAGUAAGAGAGUAUGACCACUUUGGGAAAUCCCCUAGCUUUCGUCCCUCACUGUCUACAGCGUAGCCGUCAUGGAACCCAGUGUCUUCGUCAAGCAUUCCACUCUAGUUUUCGCUACCAGUGUUUCAACAACACACAAUACCGCCGGCCCCCAUGCCACACAUGUCAAAUUAUAGAAUAGAUCUCGAGUAGAGACAAGAAGACAGCACGCUAAAGCGAUCGAAAUGGUUGUACAUGACUAGUUGUCUCCUGCGGCUCGCGAUAACAUGAAUAUCUCUCAUUCUCUUCCAUUCUUAGGCCUUCUUAAAAUAAGACAAAUAUAAAGCAAUCGAGCCAAAGAGAAAAUCAUGAAGCAUCUAAGGUUUCCUUAUCUUUUUACAAUCUAGCUCCUCCGGAUACGAUCAUGCUUAAUGUUACUAGCACAUGUUAAUGUCUUAAUCUCAUAAUAGACGAAAGAACGAUAGGGAGUUGGUAUCAAAUCCAUACCGAUGAUGAAUGCAUUCCAUUCCAUCGGUUAAGUUGGUAUCCUCAGGAAAAAACAAAGCAGCGGAGUACCCAUUUUUACAUGAGAAAGAAAAUGAGCUGAUUUGAAGCUCUGCUCUUGUUAUGUUGAACAAACGCCCUGCGGGGCACGCCCUCCGGGGGUUUACGCAAGGAAUUCCGUAGAAGAGAGUCUUGGUAAGAAAUAAAUAAAAAUGUACAGUCUACCGCAAGUAAAAAACCCAUAGCUUCUAUCGCUGACGGGGCCUUUCAGGCUAUCUAAAAUACCACCAUCAUAAAGGAGGAUUCGAAGAAGACGGCAUGACCGGGAGAGAGACGCAAGGAUGGGACUGGAACGAUUGAUAAGCACUCAUUUAUCAUGGAUGAAUAAAAAUAUGCGUAUAGUAAAGACAUACGCCCCAUAUCUGUGGAUGAUAGGCUCUAAUUGCAAGUGACCAGUACGGGAACCGAGUUCAUGUCUUUCCGGGAGUAGAGCUUGCGUUAAACUUGCUUCAAUGGCGAUGAAAAUAGCUCAGUUGGUAGACGAUGUCAUGUGAGAGCUUGUUUUCUCGUUGAAGCAUUCUUAGACUGAUAGCUAGGGAAGUCCCAUUUUGCAAGGGCUCGCGGAGUAGCCACAGAUAGAAAUUAUCAAGUACCAACCAAAUAGUUCUUCCAAGGCUAAAGGCAGGCUGACCCACUAAUUAUGUCGUAGGUAGGGAUCUCGUUUGAACAAAAUUGUAUAACAAUGAAGCGAGAAAACGUAUGCGCCCGCAAACGGCUUUCGAGGCGAUCCUGACCAGCAAACGAACUCAAAUUCAAGCGACCCUCAAAGCGAGGGGAAGACCCCCAUUCUUUUUGUCGAAAUCUUACUGUACUUAAAAAGAACAAUGUUGUUACUUCUUCAAAUCUCUAUUGUGUAGGUGUUUAGUCCCAGGUAGGAAUAAGUAAAGGCUAUUUCUUGUUAGUCUGUCUCUUUCUCUUUAAUAGCAGGUUCUUGGGUAAAAAAAACCUAGUCACUUUAGAAAGUCCCCCUUUUUUUAGGGAGCAGAGCUGAAAAAGAUGGGAAAUUCCAAUGAAUGAUAGAGAUUUGAUUCUCUAUGGAGAUGUCACGUCCAGUGAUAUACGCUUUUUUCAAGAAAGUCAAACUCAUAUGUCUUUUUUUAGUGGCUCAUCAACUAGGUCAGAUGCGGAAAGCGCUCCGCCGGAGGCUUCCGACUUGUUUAUGAGGAUUUGUGCAGAAUGCACAAGAUUAGUGGAGCAAGAAGGGAAAUAGAUACCCUCACAAUGGGACAUGCCUGACCUUCUUCGGACUGUGAACGAAGACUUAAUAGUAAUGCCAGACUUUCUAAGAGAUACUUAUUAUGAUGUCAUGUUACGUGGACCUCAUAGUUGGUUAUUCCUUGAUGUUAGCAACUGGAUUGAUUUAGUCAACUACGCCCCCCAAGUAUGAAGGGGCGGGUGUUGUGAGAUUUUACCCAAGAAAUGGGUACAUAAAAUGAAAAGAUCGGAACAUGGGAAUAGAUCUUAUACCAAUACUGACUACCCAUUUCCAUUGUUGUGCUUUCUAAAAUGGCAUACCAAUACAUACGCUAUGAUGAUCCAGAGAAACGUGUGGUUUCUGAACCCAUUGGGAUGACCCAAGAAUUUCGCUAUUUCGAUUUUGCUAGUCCUUGGGAACAGCGUAGCGACGGAUAAUUCCGAAUCUACAUAGGUCUAGUCCAGGGGACAAAUCAAUAGGAAAUGCUAUUUGCUUCUUAAGAGAAGAAUCACUUUUUUGAAGUUCCAUUUCUAUUAGAGGUCAAUAUGAAUAUUAUACCAUGUUCCAUUAAAACACUCAAGUGGUUAUACGAUAUAUCGGGUGUAGAAGUAGGCCAACACUUCUAUUGGAAAAUAGGAGGUUUCCAAAUUCAUGCCCAAGUACUCAUCACUUCUUGGGUCGUAAUUACUAUCUUGCUAGGUUCAGUUAUCAUAGCUGUUCGGAAUCCACAAACCAUCCCGACCGACGGUCAGAAUUUCUUAGAAUAUGUCUUUCCCUUGACUUGGCUCAACGGCUUUAGUUCAGUAAAUGCUUUCGUAUGAAGCUUGAGUCAAGUCUAGUCUCAUGUAGUGAAGAUCGUCAAGCAAUCAUUGCUCGUCUCUCCGAAACCUAUUAAUAAGGAACACGUUCAAGUGUAUGGAAUAAUCAAACCUUUCACGUAUUUGUUAACAUAGUGUUGGACGAUUGAUUCCUCUCUUUCUCCAUGGCCUGCUUCCCAUAACUGGCCUUACUAAAACUUACGAAAUGCUAAUUUGACCUAAAUUUCCGAUUAACUGCUGACUUUCUUUGCUAGCUCACCCGAAACUCUGUCUUCAGGAGGAAAGCUUGCUUGAGUACCUUACUUGAAAACAAACCGCUUGAGCUGUAACUGAAACAGAAAGGUUUGAUGAGCCGUUGCUUGCUCUCUAACUGCUCUUACCGCUUCUUCUUCUUGACCUCUACUCACUGCUGCCAAUGCUGUGACUGCCGCCCCUAUCUCUAAAGCUGCGGAUUACAGCUCCUGAUUCAAGCAGUUUUUUUUCCUAAAGUAUGAGUCUUGUUUGUGACAUUCAAUUCCAGAAUGAACAUUCAAAGGAAAAGUAGUAUGGGACGCUGCUUGCUAUUACUGACUGCGGCUGCCGACCGAAGAACUGAAGAUCUUCAAUCUAUGUUUGAGUGCUCUUGGGAAAGAAAAUAAUUUCGAAUGAAAAAAUGACUUCAAAAAUAGGAUAGGAUCGCGGAUUCCACAUAUUUUUAUAGAAAGAAAGAUACUGUACUCCGCAUCUUUACACCGAAUCCUUAAAAGCCAUUUAAUGCCUUCUUGCCUGCCUUCAGUUCAUGCCUUCAGGCCGGCCUGCUCUUGCCUAUGAAUGAGAUGCCUACUUCCCAUUAAGUCAAAAUACCUCAUAGACAUACAUAUUUUUAAGGAUACUUAGUUAGUUAAAGAGAAAGAUGGCUUUUGACAAUUUUUUUAGUCCCCUCGUUCCCGAGCAAGAAAACGGAUGCGCUAACGCGCAACGGCUUUCACGCUAGUUGCUCAAUCCGUUGCUUGUUCGGAAGAAUCCGCAAAUGAAUAUUCUUUAUUUCCUCUCGGAUAGGCCCUCUUUUUUCAUUCGAAUGUACAUCUUUUUUGGUAAUGAUCAUCUACAACUGAAAGACUGACGUCUUCCUCUACUCGAUCCUUAGUUAUACAAUCUCCCUCCACCUCAAUUUUUAUGAUCCUCAUAGCCUUUUUUAUUCGCGCCCUCCCCCUGGAUCUAUUCCUGCCGCGUCCACGUCCUCUGCCUCCAGCAACUAGAGCUGCAUCAUCUUGUUCAUUAUUGAGAAUAGGCCUCUUCUCACACCGUACCAGUUCUUUUUGCAGUUGAAUCUUCCCGUUCUGGCUUAUUGAGUGUAUAGAUUCUUUUUGAAAUGCAAUCUAUUCCCACAUCACUCUUCUCAUAACAUAUCUUGUUCUCCUCACUUUGAUUCUGGAUUCACCGGUUGAUUUAAGACGGGGUUCUAUGCUUUCUAGCCCCAUUUGACAAAAGUGAGCUUCCCCUCUCUCUUUUGUAGGAAUCAGAUAGCAAUGCUCAUUCGUGAAUAGCAUUUCAUGCUUCCGCUACUUCGUCGGAGAGAUCCAUGGAAACUCAACAAAGAAAAGCGGACGGGAAAGAUUAGACAGAAAACUGCAACCAGAAAGCUUAUCCGACGCUCCGUUGUACCAUAUCCCACGCUCUAGUGGUCCUUCUUUUCUGUGUGGGACUGCAAACGGAUUUGAUGAUUUGAACGUGGUCGUGGGGUUGAACAUAUGAGUUUGACUUUCUUGAAAAAAGCGUAUAUCACUGGACGUGAGAUCUUCAUAGAGAAUCAAAUCUCUAUCAUUCAUUGGAAUUUCCCAUCUUUUUUAGCUUUGCUCCCUAAAAAAGGGGGACUUUCUAAAGGGACUGAGUUUUUUACCCAAGAACCUGCUAUUAAAGAGAAAGAGACAGACUAACAAGAAACAGCCUUUACUUAUUCCUACCUGGGACUGAACACCUACACAAUAGAGAUUUGAAGAAGUAACAACAUUGUUCUUUUUAAGUACAGUAAGAUUUCGACAAAAAGAAUGGGGUCUUCCCCUCGCUUUGAGGGUCGCUUGAAUUUGAGUUCGUUUGCUGGUCAGGAUCGCCUCGAAAGCCGUUUGCGGGCGCAUACGUUUUCUCGCUUCAUUGUUAUACGAUUUUAUUCAAACGAGAUCCCUACCUACGACAUAAUUAGCGGGUCAGCCUGCCUUUAGCCUUGGAAGAACUAUUUGGUUGGUACUUGAUAAUUUCUAUCUGUGGCUACUCCGCGAGCCCUUGCAAAAUGGGACUUCCCUAGCUAUCAGUCUAAGAAUGCUUCAACGAGAAAACAAGCUGUCACAUGACAUCGUCUACCAACUGAGUUAUUUUCAUCGCCAUUGAAGCAAGUUUAACGCAAGCUCUACUCCCGGAAAGACAUGAAGUCAGUUCCCGUACUGGUCACAUGCAAUUAGAGCCUAUCAUCCACAGAUAUGGGGUGUAUGUCUUUACUAUACGCAUAUUUUUAUUCAUCCGUGAUAAAUGAGUGCUUCUCAAUCGUUCCAGUCCCAUCCUUGCGUCUCUCUCCUGGUCAUGCCGUCUUCUUCGAAUCCUCCUUUACGAUGGUGGUAUUUUAGAUAGCCUGAAAGGCCCCGUCAGCGAUAGAAGCUAUGGGUUUUUUACUUGCGGUAGACUGUACCUUUUUUAUAUAUUUCUUACCAAGACUCUCUUCUACGGAAUUCCUGGCGUAAACCCCCGGAGGGCGUGCCCCGCAGGGCGUUUGUUCAACAUAACAAGAGCAGAGCUUCAAAUCAGCUCAUUUUCUUUCUCAUGUAAAAAUGGGUACUCCGCUGCUUUGUUUUUUCUUGAGGAUACCAACUUAACCGAUGGAAUGGAAUGCAUUCAUCAUCGGUAUGGAUUUGAUACCAACUCCCUAUCGUUCUUUCGUCUAUUAUGAGAUUAAGACAUUAACAUGCGCCAGUAACAUUAAGCAUGAUCGUAUCCGGAGGAUCUAGAUUGUAAAAAGAUAAGGAAACCUUAGAUGCUUCAUGAUUUUCUCUUUGGCUCGAUUGCUUUAUAUUUGUCUUAUUUUAGGAAGGCCUAAGAAUGGAAGAGAAUGAGAGAUAUUCAUGUUAUCGCGAGCCGCAGGAGACGACUAGUCAUGUACAACCAUUUCGAUCGCUUUAGCGUGUUGUCUUCUUGUCUCUACUCGAGAUCUAUUCUAUAAUUUGACAUGUGUGGCAUGGGGGCCGGCGGUAUUGUGUGUUGUUGAAACACUAGUAGCGAAAACUAGAGUGGAAUGCUUGACGAAGACACUGGGGUUCCAUGACGGCUACGCUGUAGACAGUGAGGGACGAAAGCUAGGGGAUUUCCCAAAGUGGUCAUACUCUCUUACUGAGUUAUCAAACCUGCCUGCACUAGCCAACCUACCGCGACACUUAGUCGGUAUGUGCUGUUUAUCUCCACGCUAUCUGUGAUAGUUAGCACGCUCCUUUAUUACAAUCUGUGUAUUAUUCAACUUAAUUAGAUAAAGUCCUCUCAUUAUUUGUUUAAAUCUUUGCUACUUACAGAUGUGAUUGGUGUCGGGAAUCCUACCCAAACUUGGAAAAGAACUAUUCUAUUUGGCACUUGAGAAACCGAUAUAGGAUUUAGGUUGUCCCGACCAGUAACAAAAGGGAAAUUGGGCACAUUCACAUGAAAUGAGAAUUCUCGUUCGUAUAGUAUAAAAGAAGGAGGUCGGCACCGUGCUUUGGACAAAUUGACUUUCUUCGCCAUUCUCCUUUUUUAUCUAUAUACACAAUUCUACUUGAUUUGCCCUUGAAUAGUAAGCCCCAGAAUUACUAAAUUGUAUGGUUGUUUUCCGCGUAGUGAGUAGGAUCCAACCCAUCGAGUGGUGGCCCUAUCCAACGGUUGGUUCUUGUUAUAAUGGUUGGGGAGACCUUUGAUUGUGAAUACCAAGUGGAACAAGCGAGUAAAGAGGGAAGGCAGUCUAAGUUUCCAAUCCAGUGUCCUAAGCGCCCUGCUUUCGUCUUGAUUAUUGCAUAGGUAGUGUGCAGCUGCUGCCCGUUUCAAACCUGUACUCCUCUGGUAGUGUAGUAAAGCCCAUUAGAAGUGAGAUUCGUUGAUUCUAUCAAUAAUCUUAAACUUAAACCUCGUGAAGCCCUACCCUAGGUAAAGGGCUUCUGCUACCAGACGGAUUGAGUGAGGAAACGUAUGCACGGCUUCACUAUUUAGUAAGGGCAGCGGCUUUAGAGUAGGAAAGGGUGUGGCCAUAGUUUCCUGCACACCGAAGCUAUUAGUGACCCGCUUUGGAGACUCAUCCCAGGGAAAAGGUAGGAGUGUCAAAAGCAUCUGUUGGUGGGUAAUCAGCGGAGCAGCUUCUUUACACGCCGAAGUAGAUAUGUAUGGUCAGGGGAAACCGACAAAGGAACCAUAAUCUAGAAUACUGGUAUCAAGAGAUGACAGGUACAACCCCAUCUUCUAUUCUGAAAGGAAAAAAGAAGAGGUGCACAUGGCUAACUAAUCUAAAUAAUGAGUGAGAAAAGACCUUCCUUCGUGGGCAUUGACCUCUAAAGAUGCCACUGCUUCUCAAUCCAAGACAACAACUAACGCUUCUUUUGGUGUUACUACCCCAAACCCCAAUCAUUCUGUUCGCUCAUACCACGUAUCAAUAAUCACUCCAAUCUGACACCUGCGCCAUGUUUCUUGAUCAAAAAUGAAUGAACUUCUGGUUCAGAAACCAAUCGUGUGGAUACGUGGACACAAUGGGAUUAUUCCUGCGAGUAAGAAGCGUUCACAAUCGGGUAAUUCGUACCUCCAGCUAUCUAAAAAUAAAUAUCUCACCUAGCAGGAACCUAAAUCCCAACUAGAUUAGAUGGAAAUGCGUAUCAUGUGAGGAAUCAAUCCUACACUCCUUUCUGGUUAUUUGAAAGUCGUGCUAGCAUUCUUUUUUAUAAACAGGAAUGGAAACAGAGCUUUCGCCUUACUUAGCUUUAUAAAGAGAAACAACUUAUCUCCUUUCCUUUGCAACAUUACCGAAGGAAGCUCGACGUAAGGAUUGCAUACUUUCUCUUUAUAGAUAUUAUUGUUAUAUAUAACUUGUGUCUUUCAUCAUGACUAGGGUUUCGUUUCCUCGCACAGCAGUGAGUACCCAUAGUAUCUAUCAUUUACGGCUAGGACGCCCUCUAAUCCACCUCAUGCUAGGAAUCCAUCUCUAUGCUUUGGUUGGGGUCUAGCGGAUUCAAGGCCAUCGGAUCUUAGUCAAAUGCACUUUUUUCCAAAGAAGACAGAUUGAGAAAGGCCUAGCGGUAUUAAAGCAAACCAAGCCCUGACGACUCCUUCCCUUUUUACAGGUGUACAGGACCCGAAGGGAGAAAUAGACCCGCACCGGACGAGUUAAGCGCUAGGCGUUUUCUUGCAGGUUAGCGCAUCCGUGUAAAAUGGACCCCAUAACCCAUUGUAUGCCCUAAAGCCCUGAACCCCACUUUCUCCGCCUUUCGAAGGUCAAACCAGUAAAGGGUCGCAUAUAUCUAAAUACUAGUUACGAUCAUACCAGUAGUCGAGAAUCCGAAUCCUAAAUAGCAUUACGCUAUCCCUAAAACAUAUUAUCGCAGAGCGUCGCCAAUUAUUCUUCAAUUGCGCUAGAAAUAGAAAAGCACUGAACAUAAGUGAGACCUCAUGCUUUCCAACGGAUUAUUUAUAUCAUAACAGUUCACUCUGUUCAUACUAGAUAUCCGGAAUUCGUUGCCCACUGACUGAAGAAGCGCCCUACGAUGCCCAAAUCGAAGGAUCAACCCAACAAUCUUCACCUUUCAUCAAAGGAGUAGGUGGAAGAGUUACGGGAGAAAUCGAGCGAGAUAGUUAGUGGUUGAGAAGUGUACUUCGAGCGACGGGAAGCUAGUGUGAAAGGUAGAGCAGAGGUGCUAACAAUAAUAAGAAUCUUUAUCCUGCAAGUUACUCAUAAUUGAGAACUGGUAAUGUGGAUUUUGUUCCAUGCAGCUACACCUUUUCGAAAGCAAAUUCGAGGAAAUCGCUUCUUUCUUCCCAUCCCGACCUGUAUCACUUGACUUUUAGAUUGGCAAACUAAUACCAGGUUGAUGACUUCACUUCUCUUGGGAACUUGCUUCUUCCUUCACCGAAGUUAGUAGUUCGCUUUUAUGGGCAAGGUGCCAUACUGGGAAUCCAGUCAAAUGGGCCAAAGCAAUCCAAGGCAGAAGGCCCGUUUUAAAUAACUAAUCUCGUGACUUUUGCUACCGGGGGUAGGAAGGAAGCAGUAAGAUCCAGGGAGAACAAGCAAGACCAAGAACAAGAAUGAAUGCUAGAGCAUAUGCAAACCCUAGAUUAUUGUGAUGGCAGGCCGGUCAACCGCACGCUGGAAGCGGAUGGCAUUCCCAAUACAAGCCUGCAGAUCCCUGGACUCUAUUUAAACAUUGGGAAGUCCUUGACAAGAAUGCUACAUUAAGCACUUGCCACACUGACAUAUUGAUGAGCAAGCCCAGAGCCCGAAUCCGGAUGCAUGCUUAAGUGCUCGGAGGGCAGAGCCUGGCCCCGAUCGAGCCAAUAUGUCAAUCGAUAACGUUUAAGCUCCUUGUCCCCAAGAUCUUCCAUAUAUUAAGACUAGUUCGAUCUUCCUUAGAUAAACAUAUUCCAAUAAAAAGGUUCAAUAACAUAUAUAGGUAUCUACGGGCAUUGUGAAUCAACUAAUCUAUCUAGAAGUGAGUCAAUAUGUGUUCAUGAGUGAUUAUGCUGUAGGUGCUUCCCAUCUGUCGAGGCUGGUAUGUAUAAAUGGAGUAUUGACCUUAACUUUGAGUGUGGGUUCCGGUUUUGAGUGAAUGGACUGAUUGCAUUGUUGUUAAGAGUGGGCUGGCCUGCUUGAAACACCAAUGUGCUAUAGAUACAAGUACCCUUCCCUUGGGGAUCGAUUAACGGAUUACUCAGUAUCAGAUGGGUGAAAGCCUUAUCCAUCACCUUUAAGCUCCUUGUCUUUAAAUAAAAGCCAUCAAUAACCUAGAUCGGUCUCAAUAGCACUGCAGGGCAUUUAUCUCCCCUACUAUAUGGGUCUACCCACCUGGGCAUUGUCCACUUGACCAACCAUCAUGGCUAUAUAAUCUAUUUUAACAAAGAAGUAAAUAACUCGAGUCUCCCUCCGGGAGGUUGUUACGUGACCUAUUCCAGACAAGGAGUCCGAGCCAGGAAGAAAACCGGGGAAUCCAGAUUCCAUAAAUGGUCAGGAUAGCUCAGUUGGUAUAGCCUUGAAGAUCUUAGUUCUUUCGCAAACUAUCAAUAUUGGAAAGUCGAGGUACUUGAAUUCAGGAAU